rnacentral:rRNA from 1 species
UACGGAGGAUCCAAGCGUUAUCCGGAUUUAUUGGGUUUAAAGGGUGCGUAGGUGGUUUUUUUAAGUCAGGGGUGAAAGACGGCAGCUUAACUGUCGCAGUGCCUUUGAUACUGAAGAACUUGAAUGAACUAGAGGUAGGCGGAAUGUGACAAGUAGCGGUGAAAUGCAUAGAUAUGUCACAGAACACCAAUUGCGAAGGCAGCUUACUAUGGUUUUAUUGACACUGAGGCACGAAAGCGUGGGGAUCAAACAGG